CAAGGAGAAGAGGGAGCUGAUCCUGAAGGCCAAGCUGGCCAAGCAGGCAGAGCACUACGAUGACAUGGCCACCUGCAUGAAGGCUGUGACCAAGUAGGUCGCCGAGCUGUCUAAUAAGGAGCGCAACCUGCUCCUUAUUAGAAUGUGGUCGGGGGCUGCAGGUCCGCCUGGAGGCUCAUCUUGAACAUUGAGCAGAAGACUGACACCUCCGACAAGAACCCUCAUCAUGCAAUUGCUUAGAGACAACCUAACACUUUGGACAUCAGACAGUGCAGGAGAAGAAUGUGAGGCAGUAGAAGGGGCU
rnacentral:lncRNA from 1 species